rnacentral:rRNA from 1 species
GCCCUAGUAACGGCGAGUGAAGCGGCAACAGCUCAAAUUUGAAAUCUGGCCCUCGCGGUCCGAGUUGUAAUUUGUAGAGGAUGCUUUUGGUGCGGCGCCUUCCGAGUUCCCUGGAACGGGACGCCGGAGAGGGUGAGAGCCCCGUACGGUUGGACGCCUAGCCUAUAUAUAGCUCCUUCGACGAGUCGAGUAGUUUGGGAAUGCUGCUCUAAAUGGGAGGUAAAUUUCUUCUAAAGCUAAAUACCGGCCAGAGACCGAUAGCGCACAAGUAGAGUGAUCGAAAGAUGAAAAGCACUUUGAAAAGAGGGUUAAAUAGCACGUGAAAUUGUUGAAAGGGAAGCGUUUGCGACCAGACUUUUUCCAGGGGAAUCAUCCGGUGUUCUCACCGGUGCACUUCCCCUGGUUUAGGCCAGCGUCGGUUCUCUUAGGGGGAUAAAGGCUUGGGGAACGUAGCUCUUUCGGGAGUGUUAUAGCCCCUCGCGUAAUACCCUUCGGGGGACCGAGGAUCGCGCUCUGCAAGGACGCUGGCGUAAUGGUCGUCAACGACCCGUCUUGAAACACGGACCAAGGAGUCGAACAUUUGUGCGAGUGUUUGGGUGUUAAACCCUCACGCGUAAUGAAAGUGAACGGAGGUGAGAGCCCUCACGGGUGCAUCAUCGACCGAUCCUGAUGUCUUCGGAUGGAUUUGAGUAAGAGCAUAACUGUUCGGACCCGAAAGAUGGUGAACUAUGCGUGGAUAGGGUGAAGCCAGAGGAAACUCUGGUGGAGGCUCGCAGCGGUUCUGACGUGCAAAUCGAUCGUCAAAUCUGCGCAUGGGGGCGAAAGA